rnacentral:rRNA from 1 species
UGGCUCGGCCAGCAACUCAGCGAAAUUGUACUGAGAGUGAAGAUACUCUCUACCCGCGGCAAGACGGAAAGACCCCGUGAACCUUUACUGCAACUUGGCAGUGAGGCUCGGGACAGUCUGCGUAGGAUAGGUGGGAGACUUAGAAGGCGGGAUUCCGGUCUCGUUGGAGUCACCCUUGAAAUACCACCCUGGCUGUUCUGGGCUUCUAACCUAGGUCCGUAAUCCGGAUCAGGGACACUGUCUGGUGGGCAGUUUGACUGGGGCGGUCGCCUCCCAAAAAGUAACGGAGGCGCGCGAUGGUUCCCUCAGGCUGAUUGGAAACCAGCCGUAGAGUGCAAAGGCAUAAGGGAGCUUGACUGUGAGACCGACGGGUCGAACAGGUGGGAAACCAGGACUUAGUGAUCCGGUGGUUCCGUAAGGAAGGGCCAUCGCUAAACGGAUAAAAGGUACUCCGGGGAUAACAGGCUGAUCGCGCCUGAGAGUUCAUAUCGGCGGCGCGGUUUGGCACCUCGAUGUCGGCUCAUCCCAUCCUGGGGCUGGAGCAGGUCCCAAGGGUUUGGCUGUUCGCCAAUUAAAGGGGUACGCGAGCUGGGUUUAGAACGUCGUGAGACAGUUCGGUCCCUAUCUGCCGUGGGCGUAGGACGCUUGAGAGGAUCUAACCAUAGUACGAGAGGACCUGGUUGGACGUACCUCUAGUGUUCCGGUUGUUCUGCCAAGAGCAUCGCCGGGUAGCUAUGUACGGAACGGAUAACCGCUGAAAGCAUCUAAGCGGGAAGCCGGCCUCGAGAUGAGGCGUCCCGGGCCGCAAGGCCCCUAAAGGCCCCUUGAAGACUACAAGGUAAUAGGCCGGGUGUGGAAGUGCAGCAAUGCAUGGAGCUAACCGGUACUAAUCGGCCGUGAGGCUUGACCUA